rnacentral:rRNA from 1 species
GAUGAACGCUGGCGGCGUGCCUAAUACAUGCAAGUCGAGCGAACAGACGAGGAGCUUGCUCCUCUGACGUUAGCGGCGGACGGGUGAGUAACACGUGGAUAACCUACCUAUAAGACUGGGAUAACUUCGGGAAACCGGAGCUAAUACCGGAUAAUAUAUUGAACCGCAUGGUUCAAUAGUGAAAGACGGUUUUGCUGUCACUUAUAGAUGGAUCCGCGCCGCAUUAGCUAGUUGGUAAGGUAACGGCUUACCAAGGCGACGAUGCGUAGCCGACCUGAGAGGGUGAUCGCCCCCCCUGAACCUGAGCACCGUUCCGACCUCCACGGGAGGCAGCAGUAGGGAAUCUUCCGCAAUGGGCGAAAGCCUGACGGAGCAACGCCGCGUGAGUGAUGAAGGUCUUCGGAUCGUAAAACUCUGUUAUUAGGGAAGAACAAAUGUGUAAGUAACUAUGCACGUCUUGACGGUACCUAAUCAGAAAGCCACGGCUAACUACGUG